UAUAAAGGAAAGUAGCGACAAGAUUUUACACAUCCCUCAUUCAGGUUGGAGAAAGCCGUUUGCAGCAAUCUUGCAGAACUAUUUGUUUCCAUUACUGACAGGAUGGAGUCAGCCAUAACUAAACUGGUGGAUGUCUUCAAGAUUUACGCUGGGAAGGACAAGCGGCUGGGGAAGAAGGAGUUCCAGAAACUGAUGGAGACCGAGCUGAAGAAUUUUAUCACUAAUACAGAAAACAAUAAGGCAGUGAAUGAAUUAAAGGACCAAAUUGACAAGGACAAGGACGGAAAGUUAACCUUCGAGGAAUACUUCUGUCUAGUUACUCAGCUGGCGACAAAUAAAUACAAGCUGCAGUAAAGCCUCAUCAAGAUGUUCCCAUGGCACCGGCCCUGACCGACUGUUGCUCUUCAUCAUUUACUGUUAAGAGUUUUUUUAUUUGAUUUUUUUUAUUAUUAUUUUGUGAGCGUAUAUUGUAUUGUUGAUAUUAUUUUGAUCAAACAUUAUUCAUUGAUGGCAGUUGAUUAUUUUUUGAUGUUAGCCAGCAGAUUUUUAAGGUUUCCUAUAUCCUCACAACAUAUUUUAAAUUUAAGAAACAGAUAUUUUUUUAAGCUUCAUAAACAAAACGCAACGUAAAACAUCACAAUACAAAUGCUUUACACAUUUAUGUGGAUUUUAUGGGGUUUAGGUUUAUAACUUACUUAUAUUGCUGACGUGCCUUUACAGAAUUAAAGAGUGAACCAAUAGACGUUUGAUAAUUCUGGCGAGUGGUGGUCUCGCUGUUUCCUUGUGGUCUUGCCGGCGGCACACAACACACCCACAGAUGAUACGAUACCUCUGCUUGUCUUUACCCACAACCGACAGUUGCUAAAUUUAGUUGCAACUGUGCCUGCAGGUUGUCACACUCAUUGACCUUAACGGCAUCACCAAUUGAAACCUGAGACCAAUGUAUCCACAUCCCUUUGAGCUCAGCUCCAGUCUUCAACACUAUACACAUACACACACACAAACAACCUACACACUCACAAACACACACACACAAACACACACAUACAUACAGACACAACAUAUACCCACACACACACACACACACACACACACACACACACACACACACACACACACACACACACACACACACACACACACACACACACACACACACACACACACACACACACACACACACACACACACACACACACACACACACACACACACACACACAUAUACACACACACACACACACAAACACUCACACACAUAUGAUACAGCCCUUUUGGUGUCAUUCACAAGGGAAUACUUCACUGUUGGAUGAAACACACACAUAGGGAUUCUCUUGUGACAUUAUGUGUGUUUCUAAAUGUUACGGUGUAAAUGUUCUGAAAAUAAACUGCAUUAUUACUUCUGGAAGAAGGCCUGCAUGCCAGUGGACCCAUUUCUGCAUUACGUUACAUUUGACUUUGGUCAUAU